UAGUUUGUCCCAUAUGUCCGAGUGAGAAUGUGGGCACAUUUGGUCUGGGAUUUGAGCCUACGGCUGAAGAUCUGAAGAAAGUCAAAAGAAGGAAAAAGAAAACAUGGUCACUUCUUCGCCCAAUGCCACUACUCAGUGAAUCAUUUGUUAAGAGCGGUGUCAUGAAGCAUGUGGAAUUUGAAGUUGAAUUGGUUGAUAACUGCCAGA
rnacentral:lncRNA from 1 species